rnacentral:lncRNA from 10 species
UGAGAAAAAGACCAUAACAGGAAAAUACUGUUAAAGACUUGUGAAAUUUAAAAGCUAAGAAGAGAAAGGGUUUUGGAGAUCAUACGGUGAAAAUAUUAAUCAUCACUAGACUCUAAUGUAUCAGAAACAUCAACUGCAGCUUCAGGUAAAGAACCUGCUUCCAGUGGUCCUCCAGCUGAAGGAAAAAAAUAUUCCCAAAGACACAGGAGCCAACUGAAAGAGUUCCCAAUGGCCAAAGCUGGGACAAGUUGGGUAAGUAACAUUAAAUUAUAGCCUGAAGUAUAAAAUAGUUAUCCACGAAUCCACACUGCUAUAAAUGAAUAAAUAAAUAAGUAGGGAGAAAGAAACAAAAUCCACGCAGAAUUCCUAAUUAUUUAUGGAGAUGUUGCACCUGAUAAAAGGUAGA